UAUUGAGUUGGCCAAAAAGUUUGUUCUGACUUUUCUAUAAUAUCUUAUGGAAAAACCCAAAAGAACUUUUUGGCCAACCCAAU
rnacentral:miRNA from 1 species